CUCUUCAUCGUUUUCUUUCCUCUUUCUUCAAAUCCUCUUUCUUUCUCUUUCUCUCACUCGCUUUAUUGCUACUUGUUGUGUUGUGUGCUUUUUCUGUUUUUUUUGUUUUUAUUAUUUUUUGUUUGAUGAUAACUUCUUUUUGAAAAUAAAAAUAAAUAAAAAAAUAUAUGUACUCUAAUUCAAUCAACCGCCUACUGAGGAAGUUAGUUUAGGUUGAUCUGCCAACAAUGGAAAUUUUUUGGAUCUGGUCUGAUGGUGGUAAUUAGAUAUUACAAAAUGAAAGCAUGAUAUUUGAG
rnacentral:lncRNA from 1 species